UGGGGAAUUUUGCGCAAUGGGGGAAACCCUGACGCAGCAACGCCGCGUGAGUGAUGAAGGCCCUUGGGUCGUAAAGCUCUGACAGAGGGAAAGAAAUGCAGGGGGGCUAAUACCCCUUUUGCUUGACGGUACCCUCAAAGGAAGCACCGGCUAACUCCGUGCCAGCAGCCGCGGUAAUACGGGGGGUGCAAGCGUUGUUCGGAUUUAUUGGGCGUAAAGCGCGUGUAGGCGGUUUUUUAAGUCUGAUGUGAAAGCCCUGGGCUCAACCUGGGAAGUGCAUUGGAUACUGGAAGACUUGAAUACGGGAGAGGGCAGUGGAAUUCCUGGUGUAGGAGUGAAAUCCGUAGAUAUCAGGAGGAACACCGGUGGCGAAGGCGGCUGCCUGGACCGAUAUUGACGCUGAGACGCGAAAGCGUGGGUAGCAAACAGG
rnacentral:rRNA from 1 species